rnacentral:rRNA from 1 species
AACGGCCGUACCAUGCUGAAUAUACCGGUUCUCGUUAGAUCACCGAAGUCAAGCAUCAUUGGGCGCGGUCAGUACUUGGGUGGGUGACCACCUGGGGAACACCGCGUGCCGUU